GAUGGGGAUGCGUCUGAUUAGCUUGUUGGCGGGGUAACGGCCCACCAAGGCGACGAUCAGUAGGGGUUCUGAGAGGAAGGUCCCCCACAUUGGAACUGAGACACGGUCCAAACUCCUACGGGAGGCAGCAGUGAGGAAUAUUGGUCAAUGGGCGAGAGCCUGAACCAGCCAAGUAGCGUGCAGGAUGACGGCCCUAUGGGUUGUAAACUGCUUUUAUAAGGGAAUAAAGUGAGUCUCGUGAGACUUUUUGCAUGUACCUUAUGAAUAAGGACCGGCUAAUUCCGUGCCAGCAGCCGCGGUAAUACGGAAGGUCCGGGCGUUAUCCGGAUUUAUUGGGUUUAAAGGGAGCGUAGGCCGGAGAUUAAGCGUGUUGUGAAAUGUAGACGCUCAACGUCUGCACUGCAGCGCGAACUGGUUUCCUUGAGUACGCACAAAGUGGGCGGAAUUCGUGGUGUAGCGGUGAAAUGCUUAGAUAUCACGAAGAACUCCGAUUGCGAAGGCAGCUCACUGGAGCGCAACUGACGCUGAAGCUCGAAAGUGCGGGUAUCGAACAGGAUUAGAUACCCUGGUAGUCCGCACGGUAAACGAUGGAUGCCCGCUGUUGGUCUGAAUAGGUCAGCGGCCAAGCGAAAGCAUUAAGCAUCCCACCUGGGGAGUA
rnacentral:rRNA from 1 species